ACGGGUGCGUAACGCGUGGGAAUCCGCCCUUAGGUUCGGAAUAACAGUUGGAAACGACUGCUAAUACCGGAUGAUGACGUAAGUCCAAAGAUUUAUCGCCUAGGGAUGAGCCCGCGUAGGAUUAGCUAGUUGGUGUGGUAAAGGCGCACCAAGGCGACGAUCCUUAGCUGGUCUGAGAGGAUGAUCAGCCACACUGGGACUGAGACACGGCCCAGACUCCUACGGGAGGCAGCAGUGGGGAAUAUUGGACAAUGGGCGAAAGCCUGAUCCAGCAAUGCCGCGUGAGUGAUGAAGGCCUUAGGGUUGUAAAGCUCUUUUACCCGGGAUGAUAAUGACAGUACCGGGAGAAUAAGCUCCGGCUAACUCCGUGCCAGCAGCCGCGGUAAUACGGAGGGAGCUAGCGUUAUUCGGAAUUACUGGGCGUAAAGCGCACGUAGGCGGCUUUGUAAGUUAGAGGUGAAAGCCUGGUGCUCAACACCAGAACUGCCUUUGAUACUGCAUCGCUUGAAUCCAGGAGAGGUGAGUGGAAUUCCGAGUGUAGAGGUGAAAUUCGUAGA
rnacentral:rRNA from 1 species